UAGUAUAAACUAAUACGCUAGUCUUGUAAACUAAAAACGGAACUCACAACCCCUAGGGCA
rnacentral:tRNA from 1 species